CCUACGGGUGGCAGCAGUGGGGAAUAUUGCACAAUGGGGGAAACCCUGAUGCAGCGACGCCGCGUGAGCGAUGAAGGACUUCGGUAUGUAAAGCUCUAUCAGCAGGGAAGAAAAUGACGGUACCUGACUAAGAAGCGCCGGCUAACUACGUGCCAGCAGCCGCGGUAAUACGUCGGGGGCAAGCGUUAUCCGGAUUUACUGGGGGUAAAGGGAGCGUAGACGGGUUUGCAAGCCAGAUGUGAAAGCCCCGGGCUCAACCCCGGGACUGCAUUUGAAACUGGAAGGCUAGAGUGUCGGAGAGGCAGGCGGAAUUCCUGGUGUAGCGGUGAAAUGCGUAGAGAUCAGGAGGAACACCAGUGGCGAAGGCGGCCUGCUGGACGAAGACUGACGUUGAGGCUCGAAAGCGUGGGGAGCAAACAGGAUUAGAUACCCGAGUAGUC
rnacentral:rRNA from 1 species